AUUGAACGCUGGCGGCAUGCCUUACACAUGCAAGUCGAACGGCAGCACGGGAGCAAUCCUGGUGGCGAGUGGCGAACGGGUGAGUAAUAUAUCGGAACGUGCCCAGUCGUGGGGGAUAACGUAGCGAAAGCUACGCUAAUACCGCAUACGAUCUAUGGAUGAAAGCGGGGGAUCGCAAGACCUCGCGCGAUUGGAGCGGCCGAUAUCAGAUUAGGUAGUUGGUGAGGUAAAGGCUCGCCAAGCCGACGAUCUGUAGCUGGUCUGAGAGGACGACCAGCCACACUGGGACUGAGACACGGCCCAGACUCCUACGGGAGGCAGCAGUGGGGAAUUUUUGGACAAUGGGCGCAAGCCUGAUCCAGCAAUGCCGCGUGCAGGAUGAAGGCCUUCGGUUGUAACGUAGCUUUGUUACGG
rnacentral:rRNA from 1 species